UACGGGGGGGGGCAAGCGUUGUUCGGAAUUACUGGGCGUAAAGGGCUCGUAGGCGGCCAACUAAGUCGGAUGUGAAAUCCCCAGGCUCAACCUGGGAACUGCAUCCGAUACUGGAUGGCUUGAAUCCGGGAGAGGGAUGCAGAAUUCCAGGUGUAGCGGUGAAAUGCGUAGAUAUCUGGAGGAAUACCGGUGGCGAAGGCGGCAUCCUGGACCGGCAUUGACGCUGAGGAGCGAAAGCUAGGGGAGCAAACGGGG
rnacentral:rRNA from 1 species